rnacentral:rRNA from 1 species
GACGUAGGGUGCGAGCGUUGUCCGGAUUUAUUGGGCGUAAAGAGCUCGUAGGCGGCUUGUCGCGUCGACUGUGAAAUCCCGCGGCUCAACCGCGGGUCUGCAGUCGAUACGGGCAGGCUAGAGUUCGGUAGGGGAGACUGGAAUUCCUGGUGUAGCGGUGAAAUGCGCAGAUAUCAGGGAGGAACACCCGGUGGCGAAGGCGGGGUCUCUGGGGCCGAUACUGACGCUGAGGAGCGAAAGCGUGGGGAGCGAACAGG